AUUGAACGCUGGCGGCAGGCCUAACACAUGCAAGUCGGGCGAGCGGCGGACGGGUGAGUAAUGUAUGAGGAUCUGCCUGAUGGCGGGGGAUAACUACUGGAAACGGUAGCUAAUACCGCAUACCAUCAGAUGAACCCAUAUGGGAUUAGCUAGUAGGUAAGGUAACGGCUCACCUAGGCGACGAUCUCUAGCUGGUCUGAGAGGAUGAUCGCCACAACUGGGAUGGAGACACGGCCCAACCGCCUCCGGGGGGCGGCGUUGGGGAAUUUCGCCCAAUGGGGGAAAGCCUGCUGCAGCAAUGCGGGGGGUAUGAAGAGGGCCUCAGGUUUGUAAAGUACUUUCAGCGGGGAGGCGUUACCCGAAGAGAAAGCACCGGCUAACUACGUGCCAGCAGCCGCGGUAAUUC
rnacentral:rRNA from 1 species